GCGUCGUUGGUGUAGAGGUUAGCAUAGCUGGUUUCCAACCAACUGACCCGGGUUCGAUUCCCGGACGACGCA
rnacentral:tRNA from 1 species